GUCUUGUUGAUGAUAAUUUCAAGUCGGACCUGCCCACUGAUUAGUUAAAUGGCCGCGGUAUAUUGACCGUGCAAAGGUAGCAUAAUCAUUAGUUUUUUAAUUAAAAGCUUGUAUGAAGGGUUUGAUGAGAGAGUGACUGUCUCAAUUAAAUUUUAUUAAAAUUUUAUUUUUAAGUAAAAAAGCUUAAAUAUAUAUAGAAGACGAGAAGACCCUAUAGAGUUUUAUAAAUUGUGUGAUAUUUAGGUAUGAGGUUUUAUUUGUUUAAAUUUUAUUAUUAUUUAUUUUGUUGGGGUGACAGGAAAAUUAAGUUAACUUUUCUUUAUUAAAUUAUAUUUAUUUGUAUGUUUAUGAUCCUAGUGUAUAGAUUACAAGAUCAAAUUACCUUAGGGAUAACGGCGUAAUUUUUUUUAGAGUGCUUAUCGAAAAAGUAGAUUGCGACCUCGA
rnacentral:rRNA from 1 species